rnacentral:rRNA from 1 species
GAUGAACGCUGGCGGCGUGCCUAAUACAUGCGAGUCGAGCGAACGGACGAGAAGCUUGCUUCUCUGAUGUUAGCGGCGGACGGGUGAGUAACACGUGGAUAACCUACCUAUAAGACUGGGAUAACUUCGGGAAACCGGAGCUAAUACCGGAUAAUAUUUUGAACCGCAUGGUUCAAAAGUGAAAGACGGUCUUGCUGUCACUUAUAGAUGGAUCCGCGCUGCAUUAGCUAGUUGGUAAGGUAACGGCUUACCAAGGCAACGAUGCAUAGCCGACCUGAGAGGGUGAUAGGCCACACUGGAACUGAGACACGGUCCAGACUCCUACGGGAGGCAGCAGUAGGGAAUCUUCCGCAAUGGGCGAAAGCCUGACGGAGCAACGCCGCGUGAGUGAUGAAGGUCUUCGGAUCGUAAAACUCUGUUAUUAGGGAAGAACAUAUGUGUAAGUAACUGUGCACAUCUUGACGGUACCUAAUCAGAAAGCCACGGCUAACUACGUG